UACGGAGGGUGCAAGCGUUGUCCGGAUUUAUUGGGUUUAAAGGGUGCGUAGGCGGCUAAUUAAGUCAGUGGUGAAAUCCCUCAGCUCAACUGAUGAACUGCCAUUGAUACUGAAUAGCUUGAGUACAGUCGAGGUAGGCGGAAUUGACAGUGUAGCGGUGAAAUGCAUAGAUAUUGUCAAGAACACCGAUUGCGAAGGCAGCUUACUAGGCUGUAACUGACGCUGAGGCACGAAAGUGUGGGGAUCAAACAGG
rnacentral:rRNA from 1 species